GACGAACUGUCCUAACGUUGUUCGGAAUCACUGGGCUUAAAGGGUGCGUAGGCGGGUCUUUAAGUCAGGGGUGAAAUCCUGGAGCUCAACUCCAGAACUGCCUUUGAUACUGAAGAUCUUGAGUUCGGGAGAGGUGAGUGGAACUGCGAAGUGUAGAGGUGAAAUUCGUAGAUAUUCGCAAGAACACCAGUGGCGAAGGCGGCUCACUGGCCCGAUACUGACGCUGAGGCACGAAAGCGUGGG
rnacentral:rRNA from 1 species